rnacentral:rRNA from 1 species
UACGGAGGGUGCAAGCGUUAUCCGGAUUCACUGGGUUUAAAGGGUGUGUAGGCGGGUAUUUAAGUCAGUGGUGAAAUCUCUGAGCUCAACUCAGAAACUGCCAUUGAUACUAUUUAUCUUGAAUAUCGUUGAGGUUGGCGGAAUAUAUCAUGUAGCGGUGAAAUGCAUAGAUAUGAUAUAGAACACCGAUUGCGAAGGCAGCUUACUACACAAUUAUUGACGCUGAGGCACGAAAGCGUGGGGAUCAAACAGG